CAGCGCAUAUUUCGCCUUUUGCGUAAUCAUCUCAGACCGUCAACACACAGGCGGCGCGUAUUCCCGCGCCGCUUCACGAGUACAUUCGCCUCUAUGGCACAACCAGCAUGAACGGAAUUUGAACGCGCUAGAGAAAGCCUUGAGGGACAAGCAUUUUUGGCCUUGUUUUUCAC
rnacentral:sRNA from 1 species